CACGUAGGGGGCAAGCGUUGUCCGGAUUUAUUGGGCGUAAAGAGCUCGUAGGCGGCUUAGUAAGUCGGGUGUGAAACCUCCAGGCUCAACCUGGAGACGCCACCCGAUACUGCUGUGGCUAGAGUCCGGUAGGGGAGCGUGGAAUUCCUGGUGUAGCGGUGAAAUGCGCAGAUAUCAGGAGGAACACCAGCGGCGAAGGCGGCGCUCUGGGCCGGUACUGACGCUGAGGAGCGAAAGCUAGGGGAGCAAACAGG
rnacentral:rRNA from 1 species